AUUGAACGCUGGCGGCAUGCCUUACACAUGCAAGUCGAACGGCAGCACGGGUGCUUGCACCUGGUGGCGAGUGGCGAACGGGUGAGUAAUACAUCGGAACGUACCUUAUCGUGGGGGAUAACGCAGCGAAAGCUGUGCUAAUACCGCAUACGCCCUGAGGGGGAAAGCGGGGGAUCGCAAGACCUCGCGCGAUUAGAGCGGCCGAUGCCUGAUUAGCUUGUUGGUGGGGUAAAAGCCCACCAAGGCGACGAUCAGUAGCUGGUCUGGGAGGACGAUCAACCACACUGGGACUGAGACACGGCCCAGACUCCUACGGGAGGCAGCAGUGGGGAAUUUUGGACAAUGGGGGCAACCCUGAUCCAGCAAUGCCGCGUGAGUGAAGAAGGCCUUCGGGUUGUAAAGCUCUUUUGUCAGGGAAGAAACACCGGCUCUAACACAGUCUGGGAAUGACGGUACCUGAAGAAUAAGCACCGGCUAACUACGUGCCAGCAGCCGCGGUAA
rnacentral:rRNA from 1 species